ACUUCAAAUCUGCAGAGUGAUGUGCAGAUUGCAGAUUCAGCCCUGAGCCCCACCAGGUUCCAGGUUCCUGGUUUCUGGACGUGCAUGUGGGACGCAGCAAGGACAGGAGCAGCUGGCCCGGGGGCACCCCAGGCUCAGGUUCCCAGGCCCUCCCACCCCAAGGCCGCAUGGGCUUCCCUUCCUCCAUCCCUCUGUGCCUAGAUGCAGGCCGGACCUCAAGAGGCAGCUAGGGGAUGGGGAGAGAACAGAGGACUUUCCCCACAAAGGCCCAAAACCCACUUCCAACCUCAGCCCACAACGCCCCAGCGCAGGCCCCCUGGCUUCUCCUUGUGAGACUUUCUUGCAAAAAUGCCUGUUUGGGAUUCCUCAGAGUACAGACAAAAAGGAAGGCUUGAUCAGCAUGUGGUGGAUCUGAAGAUUCAAAGAGGUGCCACAGCUCAAAAGUAGACAUUUUGGCAAAUGUGAAGAAGUGAGAUUCAAUGAAGAUGAUAAGAAAUGAAAGGUGUUCCCAAAAAGUAUGAAACAAUGUUAAUAAUCACCACCGCAACAAUGAGAACAAUGCUGAAGCAACCUCUUCCAAGUUAUCAGGACAAGACCAUGUGAUCCAAACAG